GCGCCCGUAGCUCAAUUGGAUAGAGCACCAGUCUACGGACCGUUCGAGCCGGCCCGGGCGCGCCA
rnacentral:tRNA from 1 species